rnacentral:rRNA from 1 species
GAGUUUGAUCUUGGCUCAGAUUGAACGCUGGCGGCAGGCCUAACACAUGCAAGUCGAGCGGUAGAGAGAAGCUUGCUUCUCUUGAGAGCGGCGGACGGGUGAGUAAUGCCUAGGAAUCUGCCUGGUAGUGGGGGAUGACGCUCGGAAACGGACGCUAAUACCGCAUACGUCCUACGGGAGAAAGCGAGGGGACCUUCGGGCCUUGCGCUAUCAGAUGAGCCUAGGUCGGAUUAGCUAGUUGGUGAGGUAAUGGCUCACCAAGGCGACGAUCCGUAACUGGUCUGAGAGGAUGAUCAGUCACACUGGAACUGAGACACGGUCCAGACUCCUACGGGAGGCAGCAGUGGGGAAUAUUGGACAAUGGGCGAAAGCCUGAUCCAGCCAUGCCGCGUGUGUGAAGAAGGUCUUCGGAUUGUAAAGCACUUUAAGUUGGGAGGAAGGGCAGUAAAUUAAUACUUUGCUUGUUUGACGUUACCGACAGAAUAAGCACCGGCUAACUCUGU